GACGAACGCUGGCGGCGUGCUUAACACAUGCAAGUCGAACGGAAAGGCCCUGCUUUUGUGGGGUGCUCGAGUGGCGAACGGGUGAGUAACACGUGAGUAACCUGCCCUUGACUUUGGGAUAACUUCAGGAAACUGGGGCUAAUACCGGAUAGGAGCUCCUGCUGCAUGGUGGGGGUUGGAAAGUUUCGGCGGUUGGGGAUGGACUCGCGGCUUAUCAGCUUGUUGGUGGGGUAGUGGCUUACCAAGGCUUUGACGGGUAGCCGGACUGAGAGGGUGACCGGCCACAUUGGGACUGAGAUACGGCCCAGACUCCUACGGGAGGCAGCAGGGGGGAAUAUUGCACAAUGGGCGGAAGCCUGAUGCAGCGACGCCACGUGCGGGAUGACGGCCUUCGGGUUGUAAACCGCUUUCGCCUGUAACGAAGCGUGAGUGACGGUAAUGGGUAAAGAAGCACCGGCUAACUACGUG
rnacentral:rRNA from 1 species